rnacentral:rRNA from 1 species
AGCAGUCGCCACGGUAAUACGAAGGGGGCUAGCGUUGUUCGGAAUUACUGGGCGUAAAGCGCACGUAGGCGGAUAUUUAAGUCAGGGGUGAAAUCCCGCAGCUCAACUGCGGAACUGCCUUUGAUACUGGGUAUCUUGAGUAUGGAAGAGGUUAGUGGAAUUGCGAGUGUAGAGGUGAAAUUCGUAGAUAUUCGCAGGAACACCAGUGGCGAAGGCGGCUAACUGGUCCAUAACUGACGCUGAGGUGCGAAAGCGUGGGGAGCAGACAGGAUUAGAUACCCCCGUAGUCCCUGUCUCUUAUAC